AGAAUCAACGCUGGCGGCGUGCCUAACACGUGCAAGUCGAACGAGAAAGUGGAGCAAUCCAUGAGUACAGUGGCGACCGGGUGAGUAACACGUGACCAACCUGCCCUCGAGUGGGGAACAACAGCGGGAAACCGCUGCUAAUACCGCAUAACAUCCUCGGAUCGGAAGGACUGGGGAUCAAAGGAGCAAUCCGCUUGAGGAGGGGGUCGCGGCUGAUUAGCUAGUUGGCGGGGUAAUGGCCCACCAAGGCGAAGAUCGGUAGCCGGCCUGAGAGGGCGCACGGCCACACUGGAACUGAAACACGGUCCAGACUCCUACGGGAGGCAGCAGUGGGGAAUUUUGCGCAAUGGGGGAAACCCUGACGCAGCAACGCCGCGUGGAGGAUGAAGUCCCUUGGGACGUAAACUCCUUUCGACCAAGACGAUAAUGACGGUACUGGUGGAAGAAGCACCGGCUAACUCUGUGCCAGCAGCCGCGGUAAUACAGAGGGUGCGAGCGUUGUUCGGAAUUAUUGGGCGUAAAGGGCGCGUAGGCGGUGCGGUAAGUCACCUGUGAAAUCUCCCGGCUCAACCGGGAAAAUGCAGGCGAAACUGCCGUGCUGGAGUGUGGGAGAGGUGCGUGGAAUUCCCGGUGUAGCGGUGAAAUGCGUAGAUAUCGGGAGGA
rnacentral:rRNA from 1 species